CAAUUUUCGGUGGCAUCACACUACAAAACGCCAAAUAAUAUCAAACUGUAAUUCUGAUAUCGACUGUAGUAGUCACUUGACUUGCUGAUUUUCUCAUUAUAAAUUGGUUUAAUAUAACUUACCCAAUCUUUACAAGUUCUGUUCAUUUAACAAGUAAAAACGAUCAUGUAGCAUUCAAAACGUAGCUAUUUUUAUAACAGUCUGUUUCACGGAUGUAAUUACUUUCAUCCACCACGAGGAAGUCUUAAUAAAGUGUAGCAGCUUCUGUAAAAUCAAGUUAUUUCUCCAGCCAAUCAACGUCAUGCAUGACGAACCACCGUUGAAUUGAAUUAGUUUUUCUUAAGCAGGAACUUAAAAUUGUUUUUCUAUAUUAGAGAUGAAACUGAUUAAUCAGAACCGAGCACUUGUGUAGUUUUAUCAUUACUUCAAGCCUUUUUUUUAGAGGGGGGGGGGGGGAAACACAACAAUUUUAUAUAGCUCAAGUCACGUGAUGAUAUAUUUUUCAGUCCGAACAUCAAACCAUAACCUACAUCGGUGAUCCUGUUAAGGACAAGUACCUCAAGGAUUCAUCAAGCCUAAAUGGUGCUACAGUGCAUGUAGGCCCGACACCUAGUGGAAG